rnacentral:lncRNA from 1 species
UACCUUGCUUGUACUGGAAUUGAUUUCCCAUGUAGUUGACUUCAUGCUGCAUUUCUUCAAGGAAAUCACAUUGACCAUUAAUAUGGUCACCACCACAUAGAUCACAAAGUUGUUUAGUUUGAGAGAUAUUCCUUAUUCCCUUUGGAAGUUCACAAAAGACCUUUGUUAAUUUCUCUAGUUUUUUAGUAAGGAGAUGAUUCUGCGCAGCCAUUGCAUCAUCAGCAGGGAGAUGCAAAAGUCCUCCUUUCUGUAUGCCCCUUUCACUUUGCGUCACUUCAUUCAUAGCCAUUUCCUCAAUCAAUUCGUAGGCCUCAUCUUCAGUCUUUCUAUUUAUACUGCC